AGCGAAGGCUGGCGGUAGGCCUAACACAUGCAAGUCGAACGGCAGCACAGUAAGAGCUUGCUCUUACGGGUGGCGAGUGGCGGACGGGUGAGGAAUACAUCGGAAUCUACUUUUUCGUGGGGGAUAACGUAGGGAAACUUACGCUAAUACCGCAUACGACCUACGGGUGAAAGCAGGGGAUCUUCGGACCUUGCGCGAUUGAAUGAGCCGAUGUCGGAUUAGCUAGUUGGCGGGGUAAAGGCCCACCAAGGCGACGAUCCGUAGCUGGUCUGAGAGGAUGAUCAGCCACACUGGAACUGAGACACGGUCCAGACUCCUACGGGAGGCAGCAGUGGGGAAUAUUGGACAAUGGGCGCAAGCAUGAUCCAGCCAUACCGCGUGGGUGAAGAAGGCCUUCGGGUUGUAAAGCCCUUUUGUUGGGAAAGAAAAGCAGCAGGUUAAUACCCCGCUGUUCUGACGGUACCCAAAGAAUAAGCACCGGCUAACUUCGUG
rnacentral:rRNA from 1 species